AGAGAGGUGUCCGAGUGGUUGAAGGAGCUACCCUGGAAAGGUAGUAUGUGGGUAACUGCAUCGAGAGUUCGAAUCUCUUCCUCUCUGCCA
rnacentral:tRNA from 1 species